GACGAACGCUGGCGGCGUGCUUAACACAUGCGAGUCGAACGGAAAGGCCCUGCUUUUGUGGGGUGCUCGAGUGGCGAACGGGUGAGUAACACGUGAGUAACCUGCCCUUGACUUUGGGAUAACUUCAGGAAACUGGGGCUAAUACCGGAUAGGAGCUCCUGCUGCAUGGUGGGGGUUGGAAAGUUUCGGCGGUUGGGGAUGGACUCGCGGCUUAUCAGCUUGUUGGUGGGGUAGUGGCUUACCAAGGCUUUGACGGGUAGCCGGCCUGAGAGGGUGACCGGCCACAUUGGGACUGAGAUACGGCCAAGACUCCUACGGGAGGCAGCAGUGGGGAAUAUUGCACAAGGGGCGGAAGCCUGAUGCAGCAACGCCGCGUGCGGGAUGACGGCCUUCGGGUUGUAAACCGCUUUCGCCUGUGACGAAGCGUGAGUGACGGUAAUGGGUAAGAAGCACCGGCUAACUACGUG
rnacentral:rRNA from 1 species